AAGUCGUAACAAGGUUUCCGUAGGUGAACCUGCGGAAGGAUCAUUAAUGAAUAAACUUGGUUGAGUUGCUGCUGGUCCUUCGGGACAUGUGCACGCUCACCACUUUUAUAACCACCUGUGCACCUUUUGUAGACUGGAAACAUUUCUCGAGGAAACUCGGAUUGAGGACUGCUGUGCGUAAGCCGGCUGUUCUUGUGUUUCUCAGUCUAUGUUUUCCAUAUACUCCAAAUGUAUGUACCUGAAUGUAUUGCUAGGCCUUUGUGCCUUUAAAACAAAUACAACUUUCAACAACGGAUCUCUUGGCUCUC
rnacentral:misc_RNA from 1 species